rnacentral:rRNA from 1 species
GACGAACGCUGGUGGCGUGCUUAACACAUGCAAGUCGAACGGAAAGGCCCUGCUUUUGUGGGGUGCUCGAGUGGCGAGCGGGUGAGUAACACGUGAGUAACCUGCCCUUGACUUUGGGAUAACUUCAGGAAACUGGGGCUAAUACCGGAUAGGAGCUCCUGCUGCAUGGUGGGGGUUGGAAAGUUUCGGCGGUUGGGGAUGGACUCGCGGCUUAUCAGCUUGUUGGUGGGGUAGUGGCUUACCAAGGCUUUGACGGGUAGCCGGCCUGAGAGGGUGACCGGCCACAUUGGGACUGAGAUACGGCCCAGACUCCUACGGGAGGCAGCAGUGGGGAAUAUUGCACAAUGGGCGGAAGCCUGAUGCAGCAACGCCGCGUGAGGGAUGACGGCCUUCGGGUUGUAAACCGCUUUCGCCUGUGACGAAGCGUGAGUGACGGUAAUGGGUAAAGAAGCACCGGCUAACUACGUGCCAGCAGCCGCGGUGAUACGUAGGGUGCGAGCGUUGUCCGGAUUUAUUGGGCGUAAAGGGCUCGUAGGUGGUUGAUCGCGUCGGAAGUGUAAUCUUGGGGCUUAACCCUGAGCGUGCUUUCGAUACGGGUUGACUUGAGGAAGGUAGGGGAGAAUGGAAUUCCUGGUGGAGCGGUGGAAUGCGCAGAUAUCAGGAGGAACACCAGUGGCGAAGGCGGUUCUCUGGGCCUUUCCUGACGCUGAGGAGCGAAAGCGUGGGGAGCGAACAGGCUUAGAUACCCUGGUAGUCCACGCUGUAAACGGUGGGUACUAGGUGUGGGGUCCAUUCCACGGGUUCCGUGCCGUAGCUAACGCUUUAAGUACCCCGCCUGGGGAGUACGGCCGCAAGGCUAAAACUCAAAGGAAUUGACGGGGCCCCGCACAAGCGGCGGAGCAUGCGGAUUAAUUCGAUGCAACGCGUAGAACCUUACCUGGGUUUGACAUGGAUCGGGAGCGCUCAGAGAUGGGUGUGCCUCUUUUGGGGUCGGUUCACAGGUGGUGCAUGGCUGUCGUCAGCUCGUGUCGUGAGAUGUUGGGUUAAGUCCCGCAACGAGCGCAACCCUUGUUCACUGUUGCCAGCACGUUAUGGUGGGGACUCAGUGGAGACCGCCGGGGUCAACUCGGAGGAAGGUGGGGAUGACGUCAAGUCAUCAUGCCCCUUAUGUCCAGGGCUUCACGCAUGCUACAAUGGCUGGUACAGAGAGUGGCGAGCCUGUGAGGGUGAGCGAAUCUCGGAAAGCCGGUCUCAGUUCGGAUUGGGGUCUGCAACUCGACCUCAUGAAGUCGGAGUCGCUAGUAAUCGCAGAUCAGCAACGCUGCGGUGAAUACGUUCCCGGG